rnacentral:rRNA from 1 species
CAGCAGCCGCGGUAAUACGUAGGGGGCAAGCGUUAUCCGGAUUUACUGGGUGUAAAGGGGGCGCAGACGGCGAUGCAAGUCUGAAGUGAAAUCCCACGGCUCAACUGUGGAAUUGCUUUGGAAACUGUAUUGCUUGAGUGCUGGAGAGGUAAGCGGAAUUCCUGGUGUAGCGGUGAAAUGCGUAGAUAUCAGGAAGAACAUCAGUGGCGAAGGCGGCUUACUGGACAGCAACUGACGUUGAGGCCCGAAAGCGUGGGGAGCAAACAGGAUUAGAUACCCUGGUAGUCCACGCCGUAAACGAUGCAUACUAGGUGUUGGGGAGCAAAGCUCCUCGGUGCCGGCGCUAACGCAUUAAGUAUUCCACCUGGGGAGUACGUUCGCAAGAAUAAAACUCAAAUAAAUUGACGG